AGCCUACGGGAGGCAGCAGUGGGGGAUAUUGCACAAUGGGGGAAACCCUGAUGCAGCGACGCCGCGUGAGCGAUGAAGUAUUUCGGUAUGUAAAGCUCUAUCAGCAGGGAAGAAAAUGACGGUACCUGAAGAAAAAGCUCCGGCUAACUACGUGCCAGCAGCCGCGGUAAUACGUAGGGAGCGAGCGUUGUCCGGAAUUACUGGGUGUAAAGGGAGCGUAGGCGGGACGGCAAGUCAGAUGUGAAAACUGAGGGGUCAACCUUCAGACUGCAUUUUAAAAUGGUG
rnacentral:rRNA from 1 species